rnacentral:lncRNA from 1 species
AGAAAGUUCAGGUUCGAAUUCCAUAGAAUAAAUAAUAUGGAUGGGCUUGUCUAUAAUGAUAGACAAAUGAAAGACUUUCUCAAGAUUCUGAUUUAUCCACUUGAGAUUUUGAAAUUAAAAUAGGUUGGGUGAGCUUGCAAAUUAACUUAGUCUCAUUGAAUAAGUAAACAAUUGGAUUGGUUCAAUUGCAUGGUGCCGACGAAAUCGAG